GCGUCUCCAUCUCGGCUCGGCAGCGCGGUCGACUCUUCAUCGAUUGGUUCCGGGUUCGAGUCCCGGGGGGGUGUACCA
rnacentral:tRNA from 1 species